GUGCUUGCUUUGGCAGCAUAUAUACUAAAAUUGGAACGAUACAGAGAAGAUUAGCAUGGCCCCUGUGCAAGGAUGACUCACAAAUUUGUGAAGCAUUCCAUAUUUUU
rnacentral:snRNA from 1 species